GUCUUGCCUGGAGGUUCUUAUGCCAGAUAACCAGCUGUAUGAUUUCAUUAGUUCCAGUUUGCACCAAUUUUAUAUUUUUUCACACCUAUGAUUCUUCUACAAACUUUUCAAAUAUACUCUUCAAGUUGACAUUAAAGAGAAAAAGCUACAAUUUAUCAAGACUGAGCAGAAGCAAUCCAAGUCUUCCCAGGAAAAAAAAAAAUGCCUAAGAAUAAGCAAAAAGAUAUGGUAAAUAGGGAAGAGGUAACCUAUACAGAACUUAAAUUCUCCAAAUCUCAACAGAAGCAAAGAAUACUCAAGACUGACCAGAGCACUGUUAUAUCAAGUGAACAGCAAACAAAUUAUAUGGAACUGAAAUUUCACAAAUCUUACCUCCAGCAAAGAAAAUGGUUUGUUAGGGGAAAAAGAAAAGAUCACCAGUCUCCAUCAUGGAAAGUGAUUGCUGGAAGCCUGGGAGUUUUGUUUAUGGUCUUGAUGACAAUAGUGGGUGUCUUGCUUGCAAACUUAUUUUCUGCAAGAGAAGAACAAAAGAGAAAAAUCUCAAUAAUUCCUACUCUAUCUUCUAAAAAUGAAUGUUCCUGUGAUCUUUGUCAAGACCACUGGAUUGGAUUUGGAAAUAGUUGUUAUCAUCUUUCCAAUGAAACCAAAACCUGGCUAGAGAGCCAUGCUACCUGUGAGGAGCUGAAUUCCCAUCUUCUGAAGAUAGACGUCAGGGAAGAGCUGGAAAUCUUAUCAGUGUUUGGAAUUGAAGGAUGGAUUAGCCUCAAAAUGAAUGAAACCAAUGGGUCCUGGCUAUGGGAAGAUGGCACAAAAGUGGUCCAAAGCCUGUACAAAGGACUCCCCUUGAAAAUGAUCACAGGGCUGCCUAGCUUACAUCAGCUAUAGCAGGCCUCUGUAGGAGAGUCACCAGCCCCCCUACCAAUGGACGCAUGACUUUCUGGCUGACAAAGAACUGAAUCUGGCCAAGAACCCAAAGAGGAAGCAA